CUCACACUGUGAAUUACACCAGAUACCCACACAUGAAUAAGCAGCCCCACUCCCCCUGCCUGUUUCUCCAUAGGCUCAUUUUUAUAAAACACACGGUCAGAUCUGAGCUGUGCUUUCUGCCACUGGAGCGAAGCAGGAUGAAGCAGAGAACAAAGGAAGUUUCUCUCCUUGGCUUAAGCAGGCUCUGUCUGUUGGGCUCUGUGCGAGAAUGAAGACCCAGACAUUUGCAGUAACCAGCACACUGCAGCCUCAGGGUAAAAAGAGCUGUUCCAUUUUCUUGGAUCCCGUGACCUGACCUCAGGUGAGACUAAUAAGUGCUAAGCACUGGAACAUUUGCAAGUCAGGAGUGCUAGCUUUUCACCCAGUUCCUAGGGGUGCAUCCUCCUGUCUUGGCCAUGCCAAAAAUCCAUCAUCCGUAAGCAUCCUAACAUGCCAGUACAGUCAGAGUUGGUGGGACUGAUCCACAUUCACUUCUCCUCUCCUUCUCAAGGUGCACGCUUCUAGCACCAUCCACGCUUUGCCUCUUCCCUGAUGUACCCCUCUAUGUUUGUUGGCUCAUGCACGUCCAACAGGGAGACUGAAAAGGGUAUCAGCGGCUACAUAGAAGAGCAAUUGAAGAAAGAAAUGCUCUGGAAACCAUGUUUGUGGAGAACACAGGGAAAAACUGAACUCAUGCAGGUGUUUCUUCAUUUCUAUUGUGAUUCCUCCAGACAGCAAAACAGCACCCUGCUUCUGGGCAUGUUUCAUACAAAGGAAAGUGAAAAGCUUGGCUUUGAAGUCACAGAAAACUCACUGGCCAAGUGCAUCAGCAAUUCACGGAAACACAUAUGAAGGCAUAAAGCAGAGAAUUGGUACAGAUCAGAGAAACUACACAAGCCGCUAUAUCAGUUCAGCUUCAUUUAUUAAAAAGAAUUAACAAGAUACCCUGUAUUGGACUCUCUGCUAUAUUACUUACAGAACAACAGGUCAAAAUUUAUGAGAAACUUCUGCUCCUGCCUUUUGUGGAUGCCAAGGCCUUUAUCCUAGGUGGAUCAUUUAACUCCUUUCAGAUACAACAUUCUAAUUUCAUCCAGCAUGACUGUUAUUCACCUUUAUUUCUUAGAUCAUAUUCACCAUUGUUGCAAUAAUCACUAAUUAUCUAAAAUUCUGAAAACAUAAUUGAAAUAUGACAUUUAUUUCCUUAAAUUUCUUUCUCUGACGAGAAUACUGUGUGAUAUGCAUACACUUCCAACACUAACUGAUUAGCCAAGAUACAUCUUAGCUGAGGAAAAUGGUUUAAAAUAUUUUUUUAUUCUGGCUACGAAGUUCUGCAAUAUUCUUUCACACUCAGUACAAUAAUUUUUAUCCUUGUCGUCUUUGCUUCUCAUUCUCCCCGCAGUCAUUUACUCAACCAUGGGGUUCUGAAGAACGCCUUAGCUAUUAGUCUACAUGAAUAAACUGUUGCUUUCACACCA
rnacentral:lncRNA from 1 species